rnacentral:lncRNA from 1 species
AAAGUGCAUCAGAACCCUGGCUGCAUUUCUCUUGACAACCUUGGCCCAUCUUCUGCCUACUCCAGGAUUCAACCUUGGGCAAGCAGCAGCUUCAUUCUUCUGAAAUCAUCUACUCCAUGGUCAUUGCUUCAACCAGCGCCCCCUCCACUGACUGUCCCGGGGCACUGGAUACCAAGAAGAGCUGCAGUUAUUCCCACACGGUGGCAAUGGGAUUUCCUUACAUCCUAGAAGCACAAGCUCCAGACCUCUUCAGGCCCGUCCGUAAAGCAAGUGCUCCCUCAGUUUUUUAAUCUAAUCAAGGACAAGUCAGGAGGAAGUCCAGAUCCAGGUGAGAAGGAUGUAGCAAUGAAAU